rnacentral:lncRNA from 1 species
AGAAGACAAAUCAUUCAAAAACCUCUGCCUGACCACUUUUUGGUGCAGACAUGGACUACCAUCUUCUCAACCCUUCUAACCUCUUCACAAAACACACAGAACCCUAACCCCUCCUCCACCUCCCUUCUUCUUCCCUGCCACCGCCACCACCUCUCCUCCCACAUCACCGCCGCCACCACCUCUCCUCCCACAGCCCCGUCGUGCUGCCGCCACCACCACUCCUCCCCCAAACCGCCGCCGUCUUGCACCUGUAUCACCAUCUUCAACCUCCCCUGUCCACCUUCCACAACUUGGAAGCCCUUUUAAUAAAUUUCUUAUUGUUGGAAAAACAAAUGUGUGGUGUGGCUGGAGUUGGGAUUAGAGAAUUAACCCAAAAAAGGUAUGUUCAAGACCACAGUUGUCGGCAACUACAACAGUUGCAAAUUUCUUUUUGCCGGUGCUACAAAUUAAUUCAAAAAAGGUAGGUUCACACCAUCCUUCGUCGAUUUGUGUAAAAAUGAUAAAAGGGCUGGUUGCUGGUGGAGCUUUAAUUUAAUGGCAAAGCUUUGUUGGACAGAGGGGUUGUCUGUAUUCGGAUCUAGUUCGGAUGAUUGUUCGAUUCUUUGAUGUUUUUUUUCUU